rnacentral:tRNA from 1 species
GCCGAGGUGGUGGAAUUGGCAGACACGCAUGGCUUAGGACCAUGUCUCAUUAACUUGAGGUGCAGGUUCAACUCCUGUCCUCGGCA